AAAUUCAGAAUCCAGUUUUAAAUAUUUUGUAAUAAAAAUAGUUCUUGCAUAGUCAUCAACAGCAAUAGUCCUAUUAAGAAACUUCAUAUUAAUUGGUUUAAUUUUGACAAACUCAAUGAAAACGUCAAAAUUAUUACACACAUGAUAAGUUGCUCCAUAAUCUAUAAUUCAAACCACAUCUUUGUGAUAAUUAUGGAUAGCUUUUAAAGAAGAUUUACAUGUGGACUUGUUAGUUGGGGUUAAACCAGCCUGGGAGAAGGAGUUUAUGUGAUUGGGUGCAUGAUUAGUCCCCAAACUAGCAUGUUGUAUCAGAUUCAUAAUUCCUUUGAUUUGAUCUAGAGUGAAUGGACCUUGUUGGUUGCCACAAUCAUCAUCUUCCUUGUUAUUGGUGUUUUCUUGUUCACCAUACACAUUAUUGAUAGAAAAGCCUUUCUUGAAAUUAGGUGGAAACCCAUGCUUUUUGUAACAAAGUCCAUAGUAUGACCAAGCUUACCACAGUGAGUGCAAAUCUUGGAAUUUCUCUUUCCUUUCCAAGAACCUUUCUUUGUUUCAGCAACAUUAACAAAAAAAUUGAGAUUAUGUGUUUUCAUUUGAUCCUCUAUUUUGUCUUUCAUGUUGGAGAACUAAAGAAAGAACUCUAUGGAGGUUUGUUAGGGGCUCUAAAAGCAAAACUUGAGUUUUAACCAUAUAAAAACUUUCAUUUGAACCAAGAUUGGCAUUGUUAUUGUUGUUAUUUGAUCUUGCCAUGGUUGAAAAUGAUGAAGGUCCUCGAUGAUACCAUAUUAUGAAACAAGAUGAAACUACUUUACUAAAUAAUUUCACUUAUAUUGAAAAAUAAAAUCAAUCAAAUUACAAUGUAGCAUCUCAAUCUCUUUAUAUACAAUAGGAGAAAAGAUAUAGAAUGAUGUGUAACUACCAAAGCUGAAAUAACAGACAUAACAAACUAAUAACAACCUAGGACAAAUAUCAUAUAUGCUAUUAGAAGCAUGAUCACAGUUAGCUUUACGAAUAAGUAACUAUCAAGCUAGAUGGGAGAUUAGUUGGCUAGCUAGCAAGGUGAUAGACAUAUACUCGUGAACUCAUGAGCAAGCUAGUUGAUU
rnacentral:lncRNA from 1 species